rnacentral:rRNA from 1 species
GACGAACGCUGGCGGCAUGCCUAAUACAUGCAAGUCGAGCGAACAGAUGAAGUGCUUGCACUUCUGACGUUAGCGGCGAACGGGUGAGUAACACGUAAGGAAUCUACCUAUAAGCGGGGGAUAACAUUCGGAAACGGGUGCUAAUACAGAAUAAUAUCUUCUUCAGCAUGGAAGAAGAUUGAAAGACGGCUCUGCUGUCACUUAUAGAUGACCUUUCAGUGCAUGAGUUAGUUGGUGGGGUAACGGCCUACCAAGACGAUGGUGCAGAGCCUACCUGAGAGGGUGAUCGGACACAGUGGGACUGAGACACGGCCCAAACUCCUACGGGAUGCAGCAGUAGGGAAUCUUCCGCAAUGGGCGAAAUCCUGACGGAGCAAUGCCGCGUGAGUGAAGAAGGCCUUCGGGUCGUAAAACUCUGAUAUAAGAGAAGAACAAAUUGUAGAGUAACUGCUACAGUCUUGACGGUAUCUUAUCAGAAAGCCACGGCUAACUACGUGCCAGCAGCCGCAGUAA